rnacentral:rRNA from 1 species
GAGUGAAAAGGGAAAAGCCCAGCGCCGAAGCCGCCGCCCAGCAAUAGGGGCGGAGGGCAAUGUGGCGUUAAGGAAGAGCCUCUUUGACCAGACGUUUCGUUGAUCGAACCGCGGAAGCCCGAGUCCCCCUGACCGGGGCCACGGCCCAUGGCGGGUGCAAGGCCUCUUCGGCUUCGUUCGACGGUUCGGAGGUUGCUGGCUCCUUUCCUCAGAGUCGGGUUGCUUGAAAGUGCAGCUCUAAGUGGGUGGUAAACUCCACCUAAGGCUAAAUAUUACCAUGAGACCGAUAGCGAACAAGUACCGUGAGGGAAAGUUGCAAAGAACUUUGAAGAGAGAGUUCAAGAGUACGUGAAACCGCUCGGAGGCAAACGGGUGAGCCCUCGAAGGUCGAACGGGGGGAUUCAGCCAGUCGACUUGUUUUAAAAACUCCGCCGCAAGUCUAAAAAGGGCACUCCGGUGUCCGAAACGGACCCCUCUCGCAGGGGCCGGGCUUGCGGUCAAAAAUGCGAAGUGAGUCGGCUGGUGCACUUCCCCCUCAGUAGGACGCCGCGACCGGUCGGGUUCUUUAAAGUUUUGCGGCCAUCAGGCGAGAGAAUCGGGGCAGGUGUCCGUUUCCGCGUUUAGUCCGGCGUUGUCUUUUUUCCCUUCGCGGGGAAGAUCGCUUCACGGGCGACCGCGCGGUCGGAGUUACAGCCCCAUCUCGACCCGUGCACCGCCACCCGACCGACAAAUGGUCACGAAUCCGUUGACGCGUGCCCGCGUAAAAAAACUUAAUGCGCUCGCCCUAGUCCUGGGCAGGCCGGACGCGCGAGUACAAAGUUCCUUUUUCUCCCGGAAACGGGGAGGGAAUCCGUCGGACGCCGGUACCAAAAACCACAAAGGCGACCGACGGCUCCGCGUCUGCCNNNNNNNNNNNNNNNNNNNNNNNNNNNNNNNNNNNNNNNNNNNNNNNNNNNNNNNNNNNNNNNNNNNNNNNNNNNNNNNNNNNNNNNNNNNNNNNACCAAGGAGUCUAACUCGUGCGCAAGUCGUAGGGUCGGCUCGAAACGAACCUAAACCCGAAGGCGAAAUGAAAGUGAAGGCCGUUCCGAUCCUUUCUCCUCUUUCUCUCUCGUCGCCGCGCGGAGGGUAGCGCUCUCUCUCUGUAACAGGAGGGGGAAGUGUUGUCAGCCGCGCGCCGCGUCGCAGCAGAGAGGAGGGGCUCGAAGGUGAGGAAAUUUUUAAAACGGUCGGAGGCGAGAUCCGGAAUCGACGACCAAAAGUCGAAACCGGCGCAUCGCCGGCCCGUCUCGACCGCUGCUUCGGCGCUUUGCUGCCUUCUCCGGAACCAAGGGCGAAGCGGAACGGGAGGGGGGUGGCAACAUCUCUCUCUCUUUCGUUCUCUCCCGUUGGCGACGGGUCGGCAGACGCAGGAGAAACUAGUCGGCGAGGCGGAGCAAGAGCGCACACGUUGGGACCCGAAAGAUGGUGAACUAUGCCCGGGCAGGACGAAGCCAGAGGAAACUCUGGUGGAGGUCCGUAGCGAUUCUGACGUGCAAAUCGAUCGUCGGACCUGGGUAUAGGGGCGAAAGACUAAUCGAACCGUCUAGUAGCUGGUUCCCUCCGAAGUUUCCCUCAGGAUAGCUGGCACUCGGAAACAAAACAGUCUCAUCCGGUAAAGCGAAUGAUUAGAGGCAUUGGGGCCGAAACGGCCUCAACCUAUUCUCAAACUUUCAAUGGGUGAGAUGUCCGGCUUACUUAAAUAGUGAAGUCCGCGACAUUGGAUGCGAGUGCCCAGUGGGCCACUUUUGGUAAGCAGAACUGGCGCUGUGGGAUGAACCAAAAGCCGGGUUACGGCGCCCGAUGCGGACGCUCAUCAGACCCCAUGAAAGGUGUUGGUUGCUAUAGACAGCAGGACGGUGGCCAUGGAAGUCGGAAUCCGCUAAGGAGUGUGUAACAACUCACCUGCCGAAGCAACUAGCCCUGAAAAUGGAUGGCGCUCCAGCGUCGAGCCUAACCCCGGCCGCCGGCAGGCAAAGAAAGGCACUCCCCCUUAAGCAAGGGGAGACUAACAGACGAAGCCCCGGCGAGUAGGAGGGUCGCGGUGGUGUGCGUUGAAGGGACCAGGCGCGAGCCUACCUGGAGCCGCCACCGGUGCAGAUCUUGGUGGUAGUAGCAAAUACUCGAGUGAGAACCUUGAGGACUGAAGUGGAGAAGGGUUCCAUGUGAACAGCAGUUGAACAUGGGUCAGUCGGCCCUAAGGAAUAGGGGAAACCCGUUCCGAAGGAAACCGGAAUCAAUUAAAAAAAAUUGACCGGUAAAUUCCGAAAGGGAAUCGGGUUAAUAUUCCCGAACCCGGAUGCGGAGAUCGACCCUCGCGGGUCUGAAGCGGUAACGCGUAACGAACUCGGAGAAUGCCGGCGGGGGCCCCGGGAAGAGUUUUCUUUUCUUUGUAAAGGACGUACUCCCUGGAAUCGGCUCGCCCGGAGAGAGGGAUGUUGUUCCUGUAAAGCACCGCGGCUCUUGCGGUGUCCGGAGCGCUCUCGCCGGCCCUUGAAAAUCCGAGGGAGUGAACAAUGAUUUCCGCACCGGACCGUACCCAUAUCCGCA